rnacentral:rRNA from 1 species
GCGACUGAUUGAAGCUUGCUUCUAUGACGUUAGCGGCGGACGGGUGAGUAACACGUGGGCAACCUGCCUGUAAGACUGGGAUAACUUCGGGAAACCGAAGCUAAUACCGGAUAGGAUCUUCUCCUUCAUGGGAGAUGAUUGAAAGAUGGUUUCGGCUAUCACUUACAGAUGGGCCCGCGGUGCAUUAGCUAGUUGGUGAGGUAACGGCUCACCAAGGCAACGAUGCAUAGCCGACCUGAGAGGGUGAUCGGCCACACUGGGACUGAGACACGGCCCAGACUCCUACGGGAGGCAGCAGUAGGGAAUCUUCCGCAAUGGACGAAAGUCUGACGGAGCAACGCCGCGUGAGUGAUGAAGGCUUUCGGGUCGUAAAACUCUGUUGUUAGGGAAGAACAAGUACAAGAGUAACUGCUUGUACCUUGACGGUACCUAACCAGAAAGCCACGGCUAACUACGUGCCAGCAGCCGCGGUAAUACGUAGGUGGCAAGCGUUAUCCGGAAUUAUUGGG